AAGCUGAAGAUCAGCCUGGCUCAGCGGAUGGGGGAAGGAGUGGGUGUGGCUUGUCUCUUAAAGAGAUGAAAACCAUAACAGCUACUGUUACUCGUCACCUUGAAAGCCUCCAGAAUCACCUAGCAGACAAGUUUCUAGACGUGCCCAUGGGGAUGAUCUUGAUUGUGUUUAGGCAGAAAGACAAGCCCACUCUGGGAGUUACCAUUCCCCAGACAGGCAAUCCUGGGUUAUAUAAAUGGAGAAAGGCAUUCGAGUAGGAGCACGUAUUUAUCCCUCUCUGAUUUCUGAUUGUGGAUACAAUGUGCCCAGCUGUUUCAAGCUCUUGCUGCCUUGACCUCUCCUUGAACUGUGACCUAAAAAUAAACACUCUCCAAACUUUAAGUUUCUUUUGUCAGAGUUUUUUAAUCACAGGAACACGAAAAAAACUAAAAAAUACCUGCUAAACCCUUCUAGCUUACUCCACAAAGGUAAACAAUUUUUUUUUUUCUGUCUCUCCUGAAGGGAAAUAAAUCACUUUCUUAGUGUAUUCACUGAGGCAGUCCUUCUGGGGAAACACAAAUAGGGCCUGGGAAGAAAGACAAUUUCCUUGUAUAAUCACACUAAAACUCCUUUGGUGAUAAUUUUUUGUCAGUAAUUUGUUCAACUGUACAUUGCUUUAAAAUGUAUCUUGUUAGUUUUCCCAUUUAUCAGUGUUUUGGCUAAGGGGAAUUAGCUUUUCUUGGAAGUUUAUGUUCUGUUUGUAAAUUUACCUUUUUACUGAUUCUUUGUAGAUUUCACAUCAUGCAUCUCAAUCUUACUCAUCUCCCCAUCCUUUCCCGUCUGCCCUCUGCCCUUGUGUUCCCUCAGAUUAAAAAAAAAUUCAAAAGAAAAGAAAAAAUGUAAAAUCUCAUUCUGGAAGCUGUAGUGUGACUUGGAGGAUUGUCACAUACUUAUAACCACAAGACUGAGGAGGCAGAAAUAAGCAGAUCCCUGGAACCUCACUGUCUAGCUAGCCCAGGCUACUAGGCAAGCUCAAGCCAGUGAGAGAUCCUAUCUCAGCAAAAGGGUCCAAGCUCCAUCUAGAUACUGCAACUAAACUUGGCAGUGUUGGCAAUGUGGUUCUGGUUUGGUGUGCAUGAGAGUUGGAAACACUGAGGAGGUCAUGGGGACUUGCACCAUGAUUCCAGAGAGCUGCUGAGGCCAGACAAUGUGUGAAACGUUUGGAGUCCCUGAAGAGGGUGCUGUGAGACCAUUGUAUGAAGCUGUGAAAAUUAAAUGUGUGGAGAGCCCAGGAUUAUGAGAUGUCAAAACCAUGGGAUAUGGACUAAGAAAAGCUGCAGACAAGGAAGAAAUCUGACUCAAUAGAGAAGUUGUAUGUGCUUUCAGAAGCAGAAGCAGAGGAAGAGGAGUGGGGCUACCUAAGUAAACCAUUUUUAAUGGAUGUGAUUUCAUCAUGGGCCCCAGAUAGCAAACAAAACUUCGGGAUUUGGCAUUUGCUCUGCUGAGUUUCUAUCUUUGGUGUGAUCAUUCCUUGUUAUGUUCUUGUUCUUCCCUUUGAGUUAGGAACGUUUGUUCUAUGGCAUUGUAUUUGUUUAAGUAAUAUAUUUUUAUUUUACUUGUUUUAAUUUGCAUUUAUUUGUUUAUUUUGUUUUUGUGUGGGUACAUGGACAC